rnacentral:rRNA from 1 species
UACGUAGGGGGCAAGCGUUGUCCGGAUUUAUUGGGCGUAAAGAGCGUGUAGGCGGCCAUGUAGGUCCGUUGUGAAAACUCGAGGCUCAACCUCGAGACGCCGAUGGAAACCAUGUGGCUAGAGUCCGGAAGAGGAGAGUGGAAUUCCUGGUGUAGCGGUGAAAUGCGCAGAGUAUCAGGAAGAACACCCGUGGCUAAGGCGGCUCUCUAGUACGGUACUGACGCUGAGACGCGAAAGCGUGGGAGCGAACAGG